GGGCCCAUAGCUCAGUCGGUUAGAGCAUCUGACUCAUAAUCAGAGGGUCCAAGGUUCGAAUCCUUGUGGGCCCA
rnacentral:tRNA from 1 species